rnacentral:rRNA from 1 species
UACGUAGGUGGCAAGCGUUAUCCGGAAUUAUUGGGCGUAAAGCGCGCGUAGGCGGUUUUUUAAGUCUGAUGUGAAAGCCCACGGCUCAACCGUGGAGGGUCAUUGGAAACUGGAAAACUUGAGUGCAGAAGAGGAAAGUGGAAUUCCAUGUGUAGCGGUGAAAUGCGCAGAGAUAUGGAGGAACACCAGUGGCGAAGGCGGCUCACUGGUCCAUUACUGACGCUGAGGUGCGAAAGCGUGGGGAGCAAACAGG